rnacentral:rRNA from 1 species
UAAUGGCUCACCAAGGCGACGAUCCCUAGCUGGUCUGAGAGGAUGAUCAGCCACACUGGAACUGAGACACGGUCCAGACUCCUACGGGAGGCAGCAGUGGGGAAUAUUGCACAAUGGGCGCAAGCCUGAUGCAGCCAUGCCGCGUGUGUGAAGAAGGCCUUCGGGUUGUAAAGCACUUUCAGUCGUGAGGAAGGUAGUGUAGUUAAUAGCUGCAUUAUUUGACGUUAGCGACAGAAGAAGCACCGGCUAACUCCGUGCCAGCAGCCGCGGUAAUACGGAGGGUGCGAGCGUUAAUCGGAAUUACUGGGCGUAAAGCGCAUGCAGGUGGUUUUUAAAGUCAGAUGUGAAAGCCCGGGGCUCAACCUCGGAAUAGCAUUUGAAACUGGCAGACUAGAGUACUGUAGAGGGGGGUAGAAUUUCAGGUGU